CUAAUUACCUAAUCUUCCUGCUCACUAACAUUAUCUAAUCCUAAUUAGUCACUAAAAACACUCUGAUCCUAAUUGCAAGCUAAUUAUCAAAACAGCCAUAAAAUGGACAAUGGGCUUAUGCUAUGAAUGGGGUGCGGGCCCGGAUUGGAGGGUGUGAAUGGGAAAAUCUGCUCAGGUCUGAGUCCAAACAAGAUCUUCAACCAGCUGAAACGAGAGACACACAUGCAUGAGAGAAAAGAGAAUUCCACAAAACGCACAUGGAACAAAAGCCUGAGCCACCGUCGCGUUCUCCGUCAUCCCGAUCGCACCGUCAUCGCGACUCUAGGAGGAAGAAGAUGAAUCCGAGUUGUGUCGUGGUAAUCGCCAUCGGUGAUGACUCGGUCCACGCGAAGAGAAAAACGAUUACGAUCAAUGCGCGCUCUCAUCCAUAUCUCGCGACAGCUCAAUAAUAUUCAACAAGUGAUUCGUUCUUUAAUCAGUUACCGGAUUCAAAUUCGAAUCGAUCCAUUAUCGGUAAAGCUCGUGCCGUCAAAUUCGACUCGAUUCGUCUCCGUAUGAACAAACAGGAAUGAGUGAUAUCGGAAUCAGAUUAGGGACUUACCGAGUGAAGCGAUGAUUGGAUCCUCGGUCAACUCUUCUUCUUCUUCCUUUCUUGGAGUGAUUCUGGUGAGAUGUUGAUUGUUGAAGGUGAAGGUGUCGUGAAUUUGUUACGGUAGUUGAAGAUUCCGUGAGUAUGGUUGAAGAUUGAUACAGUGAAUGGCGUUGAAGAAUCGAGGUGGAAGUGGAGGUUGAAGCGGUGGUUUAGCUCUGCUGUGUAGAGCUUCGAAUGAUGAAGCUCUCACAACAAUGGAGGAUGAGCGUGUACUGAAGGUGAGGAUCGAGUGCAGAAGCUUCUGGGAAUCAGGGGAAAAUCGUUCGAACCCAAUGAUUGGCAAUGAUUGCAGCUUAUAUAGCACAAUCCCAAGGGCAAAUUGGAGAAUUAAGUAUGAAUCAUCCAGCUGGCACCUGAGUGAACGAGAAGGACACAUGCUGUCAUGGAAUUGGUAUUGCACAUCGUCCGCUUUGCACUACAGCGGUCAAGCCAAGGAUUACAAAGGUUAGGCUUUGAAGCCUCAUUGCCGGUUGCAUUCGGGUUGAGAUGGCCUUGCUGCAAGCAUCGUGUUCCCAUCUGAUGGCAGGGCUCGGAGCAAUUCAGUCUCGGUUCCAAUUGCUGAUUACUCGCAAAGGAUUCUCGUAAGGUGAUUCAGUUGUAAGCUUUUCAGCAAAAGCAGACGUAGCAGUUUCAAACUUCCUUCAACAGGACGCCAUCCAGGUCGAAUGGCAUGCUGGACAAGACGAAGGCUAAGUGGUGCGUAUCCGGAGAAGACAUGAACAACAUCAUUGGGGGUUGGUUGUAUCGGUAUCUUCAACCACAAGCUCCAGAGUACAUUUUAUAGUUUGCUUCGUACAGUCGCGUUUGUAAGCCUUGGCUCUGUAGCAGGUGGCUCACGUUUGGAUAGCUUGCAGGUUUUG